AUAAGCGGGAAGGACGAAAAAACAAAGGGGAAAGUGCGUACGUGUGAUGGGAGACGGGCACCAGACGAGGAGGGGGAGGGAGGGAGAGUCUGGAGGAGAGCGGGGGAGGAGGGGGGGGGGGGCAGGCGUGUCGUCGAGCUCCGGGGGAUUUGCUAUUUAAAGUGCGGGCUCCGUGCGCCGCUCGAACCUUUCCACGGCGUCUGGGACGCACCGGGACGCGCGCGGUGCCAGGAAGCCAGCACUCACCUCCACGGAACCGCGUGUGGACGGCGGACGCACCGCGGCGGAGCAGGCGACGCGAGGAUAUCCGCGUUGCAGCGGGACGUUUGGCGAGAAUAUUCGCCUUCCAGCCGCCUUCCGCCUUCACGUUUUCAGACGUCCGUCAUGGGUGUGAAGAUGCUGCAGUGUUUCCCUUUCUACAGACGCAGCAAAGAGCGCUGCAAGAGCAGGCAGUGCCCCCCGGAGGCAGUUCCCACAGAGGAGACGAAGCCACGCCUGUCCUCCACCACGUCCUGGGGCAGCGACAGCGACGGCGCAGGCAGCCGCGGCUCCCAGGUCUACUUCUCCACCAAGGCCAGGCUGUCCUUCAGACAUCAGCUGGACAGCAACAUCAACGCGGUGGACGCCACGUACUGAGGAGGACAGGGCUGCGGUAGAAACCAUUUCUGACCUGUGCUGAAGACGCCAAGGCCCGACAGACGAGCUAGCGCAUCAGGUGUCACCUUCAGAUGUGAUGGACAGACACAGUUUGCAUUUUAACCACUCUUGUGCUUGUGAUAAGGACUAAAGAGGGUGGAGCCACUGCCCUUACGGAUGUUACAGAGGUGAAGAGACUUGUUUACAGAGUUGCCUACCAACAAGUGCAUUACUUUUUCUACUUUUUUUCUUUUUUUAUUCUUUUUGUUUGAUCUUUGAGGAGAAAAUGCCGUUUCUAUUCUGAGGGCCAGAGUUAAAUAGAGGAGCUUCACUAAGCCACAUGAGGGAGAGGCAGAGGUAUUAGUGUUUGGAUUUCUAAAUCUAACAUUGAUGACAAUAUUACUUUUUUUAUUCCUCUUCUGCGACACAAAGCCUGCACACUAACAGUGAAGCAACGAAACAGAAAGAAAAUUCUAUUUCUUGAACAGCCGAGGGUUAUGUUGACACCACGUAUGAUCUGAGCCGGGCUGAGGAGGUCUGACAGCUGUAGGAGCAUUAUGCUUUGGUGAAUCAUGCUUGGCUUCCGCUCCUUGUUGCUAUGCUUUUCUUUACUAUUUUUGGAAUAACUGUUGUGAUUUUAACGAAGCCUAACGACAGGGGUGCGGGAUGAACAGGGUUCUUUAUUCGUCUGCCAUGAACAGACAUGAUUUUAAGUGGUGUUCCAAAAUUACUGUGAAAACUUGUCAAAUUUCAAUGUUAAAAAAACAAUUAUCAGAAACUGAAAUUGACAAUAUGUCAAUAUAUGUCACAAACUGACAUAUAACACCAAAACAAAAGUAACUUAAUUCUUUACUAAUAAAAUAAUAAUAAUAAUGUGCA
rnacentral:lncRNA from 1 species